rnacentral:rRNA from 1 species
CAGCCGCCGCGGGAAUACGUAGGGUGCGAGCGUUAAUCGGAAUUACUGGGCGUAAAGCGUGCGCAGGCGGUUAUAUAAGACAGAUGUGAAAUCCCCGGGCUCAACCUGGGACCUGCAUUUGUGACUGUAUAGCUAGAGUACGGUAGAGGGGGAUGGAAUUCCGCGUGUAGCAGUGAAAUGCGUAGAUAUGCGGAGGAACACCGAUGGCGAAGGCAAUCCCCUGGACCUGUACUGACGCUCAUGCACGAAAGCGUGGGGAGCAAACAGGAUUAGAUACCCGCGUAGUCCCUGUCUCUUAUAC